GACCCUUGGUUCCUUGGGGCCCCUGAGUUUCACAAGGGAGACCUUCCUGGAUUGCCAAACAGAUUGCGUUCUCUUUGCAAUCUGUAUGGCAGUUGUCUUCUGUUAAGUGAGCAGUUUUCCUUAUCUCUUCCACACCCACUCCUCCCUCCAGGCAGACAUCUGCUGAUAACAGGCUACUGAAUGGCACUGCAUGACUGAGGAACAGCAGCUGCCUCUUCCACUGGAUCUUCAGAGGAAGACUACACCUUUCUAAAGGACCCCUGCUCCAGCAGAACCACACCUGACACUCCAGAAGGACUGCAGCCACCAUUCCAUUUGGACUGCUACCAACACCCUGACCAAGAGGGUGUCAGGUUGUGUUCUGACUCUGUCAGUGUUGUCUUGGUUUACUGCAUUGUUUAUUUCAUCUUUUUAUUUGUUUCCCUAAUAAAGAACUGUUGUUCCUGCUCCCA